CCUACGGGAGGCAGCAGUGAGGAAUAUUGGUCAAUGGACGAGAGUCUGAACCAGCCAAGUAGCGUGAAGGAUGACUGCCCUAUGGGUUGUAAACUUCUUUUAUAAAGGAAUAAAACGAGGCACGUGUGCCUUUUUGCAUGUACUUUAUGAAUAAGGAUCGGCUAACUCCGUGCCAGCAGCCGCGGUAAUACGGAGGAUCCGAGCGUUAUCCGGAUUUAUUGGGGUUAAAGGGAGCGUAGAUGGGUUGUUAAGUCAGUUGUGAAAGUUUGCGGCUCAACCGUAAAAUUGCAAUUGAUACUGGUAGUCUUGAGUACAGUUGAGGUAUGCGGAAUGCGUGGUGUAGCGGUGAAAUGCUUAGAUAUCACGAAGAACCCCGAUUGCGAAGGCAGCUUACUAAACUGUGACUGACAUUGAUGCUCGAAAGUGUGGGUAUCAAACAGGAUUAGAUACCCUUGUAGUC
rnacentral:rRNA from 1 species